GGCUCGGUAGCUUAGUUGGUAAAGCGCUCGUCUAGCAUACAAGAGUCCUGGGUUCAAAUCCCAGCCGAACAC
rfam:Aedes aegypti strain Liverpool supercont1.670 genomic scaffold, whole genome shotgun sequence.